CAUCACAAAAGUUAAUAUUUUGUGGAGAUCAAGGAAUGAAACUCAGCCCUCUGCAAAUGGAACACAAACGCCUGGUACAUGGAUGCUACAAUGAAAAGAAUAUGGGUGCUGAAAUCAGAGAGAAUCAUCCAAGAUGAUCCUUAUGCAUGCUGAACUCUGAGAGCCACCAGUGAAGAAGAUAAGUGACCCAUCUACCUGUAGCUGGAAAAUAAAGGCUCUUUGGGAUUCUUUCCCGUGAGUCUUCAUUUCACCAUAUUGGUGAGAGAAGGCAUUCAGGCCAAUAAUUAACUGAACAUUAGCUGUGUACCAGACACUGUGGUCGACAUUGAGAUAUAACGGUGAGUGAAGGCACAGCACGUGGGACUUCCUAUAGUCACAUAUGUGACCCAUACG
rnacentral:lncRNA from 1 species